CCUACGGGAGGCAGCAGUAAGGAAUAUUGGUCAAUGGAGGGAACUCUGAACCAGCCAUGCCGCGUGAAGGAUGACGGCCCUCUGGGUUGUAAACUUCUUUUGGAUGGGGCGAAAAAACGGGAUUUAUCCUGGACUGACGGUACCAUCAGAAUAAGCACCGGCUAACUCCGUGCCAGCAGCCGCGGUAAUACGGAGGGUGCAAGCGUUAUCCGGAAUCACUGGGUUUAAAGGGUGCGUAGGCGGUUGUAUAAGUCAGGGGUGAAAGGAUGCAGCUUAACUGUAUAAUUGCCUUUGAUACUGUAUGACUUGAAUAAGGUUGAGGUUGGCGGAAUGUGACAUGUAGCGGUGAAAUGCUUAGAUAUGUCAUGGAACACCGAUUGCGAAGGCAGCUGACUGGGCCUUUAUUGACGCUGAGGCACGAAAGCGUGGGUAGCGAACAGGAUUAGAUACCCUGGUAGUCCACGCCCUAAACGAUGUAUACUCGUUGUUUGAGAGUAAUUUUGAGCGACCAAGCGAAAGCGUUAAGUAUACCACCUGGGGAGUACGCCCGCAAGGGUGAAACU
rnacentral:rRNA from 1 species